rnacentral:rRNA from 1 species
AACGAACGCUGGCGGCGCGCCUAAUACAUGCAAGUCGAGCGAGAAGGUGUAGCAAUACACUUGUAAAGCGGCGAACGGGUGAGGAAUGCAUGGGUAACCUACCCUCGAGUGGGGAAUAACUAGCCGAAAGGUUAGCUAAUACCGCAUACGUUUCCGGAACUUCGGUUUCGGAAAGAAAGCAAUACCGUGGGUAUUGCGCUCCUGGAUGGGCUCAUGUCCUAUCAGCUUGUUGGUGAGGUAACGGCUCACCAAGGCUUCGACGGGUAGCUGGUCUGAGAGGACGAUCAGCCACACUGGCACUGCGACACGGGCCAGACUCCUACGGGAGGCAGCAGUAAGGAAUAUUGCGCAAUGGACGAAAGUACUGACGCAGCGACGCCG